AACGAACGCUGGCGGCAGGCCUAACACAUGCAAGUCGAGCGAGGACUUCGGUCCUAGCGGCGGACGGGUGAGUAACGCGUGGGAACGUUCCCUUUGCUUCGGAAUAGCUCUGGGAAACUGGGAGUAAUACCGGAUGAGCCCUUUGGGGGAAAGAUUUAUCGGCGUAGGAUCGGCCCUCGUUGGAUUAGGUAGUUGGUGGGGUAAUGGCCUACCAAGCCGACGAUCCAUAGCUGGUUUGAGAGGAUGAUCAGCCACACUGGGACUGAGACACGGCCCAGACUCCUACGGGAGGCAGCAGUGGGGAAUGUUAGAAAAUGGGGGAAACCCUGAUCUAGCCAUGCCGCGUGAGCGAUGAAGGCCUUAGGGUUGUAAAGCUCUUUCAGCUGGGAAGAUAAUGACGGUACCAGCAGAAGAAGCCCCGGCUAACUCUGUG
rnacentral:rRNA from 1 species